rnacentral:tRNA from 1 species
GGAGAGGUGGCUGAGUGGCCGAUAGCGGCGGUCUUGAAAACCGUUGACCCGAAAGGGUCCGUGAGUUCGAAUCUCACCCUCUCCG